rnacentral:rRNA from 1 species
UCUGGUAAUGAUGGCAGAGAGGUAACACCCGUUCCCAUACCGAACACGGAAGUUAAGCUCUCUAGCGCCGAUGGUAGUUGGGACCUUGUCCCUGUGAGAGUAGGACGUUGCCAGGC